AGAUGGAUCAUUCAUGAAUUAUACUUAAUAAUGUGGUUUCUUAUAUCCAACAUGAAAUGAGAGAUGUGGUUUCUUAUAUCCAACAUGAAAUGAGAGAUGUGGUUUGUUCUAUCCAACAUGAAAUGAGAGAUGUGGUUUGUCAUAUCCAACAUGAAAUGAGAGAUGUGGUUUGUUCUAUCCAACAUGAAAUGAGAGAUGUGGUUUGUUAUAUCCAACAUGAAAUGAGAGAUGUGGUUUUUUAUAUCCAACAUGAAAUGAGAGAUGUGGUUUCUUAUAUCUAACAUGAAAUGAGAGAUGUGGUUUGUUAUAUCCAAUAUGAAAUGAGAGGUUUUGGCUGAGUCGUGUAACAAAUUUUUGUAAUGCAUAUGGUUUUCUGUUGCAAUUUAAAAGAGAUAAUUCUAUUUACGCUUUUCAGCGAUGGAUGUCUCGGCUCUCGUAACGAUGAAGAACGCAGCUAGCUGCGAGAUGCAGUGUGACAUGCGAACUUCUGUGAAUCACUAGAUUUUUGAACGCAAACGGUACUUCUAAAUUUAUUUAGGAGUAUGUUCACUUCAGUGCUUUUAUAUAUUUGUUGUCCUAAUUGGUGGUCAACGUGAAUAGUUGCUGUGAUUAUGGUAACUGUAAGCUAAUGGUAAUGACUUUUAGGUGACUGUGCGAAGAUCAUUACUAAGAUUAUUAAUAAGCCUGAAUUUGAGCAAGUAUACCCGCUGAACUUAAGCAUAUUAUUAAGCGGAGGAAAAGAAACUAACUAGGAUGCCCCUGGUAACUGCGAGUGAACAGGGCACAGCUCAAACUGAAAAUCGGCAGUUCUCUGUCGAAUUGUAGUCUCAUGAAAUGCAGCCUGUAGAUGUUCUGAGUUAAGUCUCUUGGAAAAGAGUACCAAAGAGGGUGAAAGUCCCGUCUUUACUCAUGACUAUUUACUUUCGGUGCAUUUUCAAAGAGUCGCGUUCUUUGAGAUUGGAGCGCUAAGUGGGUGAUAAACUUCAUCUAAAGCUAAAUAUUAAUGAGAGUCCGAUAGAGCAUAAGUAGCGUGAGCGAACGAUGAAAAGAACUUUGAAAAGAGAGUCAAAAGGAACUGAAAUUGCUGAAAGGGAAGUGGAGAGAAUCGACGGUCUAGCGAAGUUUUCUAUAUGCUCUGGAUAUUCGUUAUCCAUGAGUGUGUGGUAAAGAUUUUGCGGUGACUCUGGCAGUGAUUGUAUAAACUGAUUACGUUGUUGAUAGGCUCUAUAUUAGGGCAAUGUCUUUGAUGUUUUAAGUCUGUGUGAUCUAUGUAUUUCUAAUUCAACAUUUCUGUUGUAUUAUACUCUUCCAGACAAGUUGAUUUUCUCCUCCCCGUCUUGAAACACGGACCAAGGAGUCUACUUUAUGUGCGAGUACAAGGGUGGAAAACCUAUGUGCGAAAUGAAAGUGAAUGUUAGGAUGGUUUUACCUGCACUGACACUCGGCCACUGAGUCGAAGUAGAGCACAUAGAAUAGGACCCGAAAGAUGGUGAACUAUGCCUGAGUAGGGUGAAGCUAGAGGAAACUCUGGUGGAAGCUCGUAGCGAUACUGACGUGCAAAUCGUUCGUCAAACUUUGGUAUAGGGGCGAAAGACCAAUCGAACCAUCUAGUAGCUGGUUCCCUC
rnacentral:misc_RNA from 1 species